rnacentral:lncRNA from 1 species
CAUGCCCGGCUCAGAUGCCUUUUGGGAAGAGACGAGGAAAAGACAAGUGGGUUAUUAGUAGGCUUCAGCUAAUACUGUUUGUCAAAAGCAGGGAAUGAUCCAAUGUCUAUGCCCAGGUAAGGUAUGGGACACUCUAAAGUUAAAUCUAUACUUAAAAAUGAGAAUUCAGAAUGAACAUAUUAUCCUGAUACUGGAAAUGCCCUUCCAAAAACUAAAUUUACCUAAGGCAAAAGGGUUGGAAUUCCGUUUUUUUUUUUUUUAUUUCAAACACCAACUCGAACCAGAUCCUCUUCUUAUAUAGAAGGGACUAGGUUAAUGAACCCCAAAACCUUUAAGUCAAUGUAUAUGACACUGUUUAAUCAGAAUAACAAAUACAGAAAGGUUUUCUUAAAUUUUCUCUUCACUCUUUUCUCCAAUACAGUGCUGGCACUAGAGUCAUUCUUAAACUUCCUAAGCUUCAGUUUCCCCAUCUAUAAAAUGAGAGUGAAAAUACUCCUGAAUGGCUCAGAGGGUUGUGAUUAUGAUCAUAUGACAUCGACAGUUCUCUAACACAUCCCUUGGCAUCAAGUGUUACAUUAGAGACUAUUUUUUUUUUUCUCAGACAACAUGACUUUAUUACUGGAAACCAACUAAGAAAAAAUUAUGAUUAGGAGGAGAAAACAGCAAAUGGUCGGGGUAAAAAACCAAUAUUCAGCAAUCAGUAGCUUUCACCAAUCAAAAGAACUUUUAGAAGAUAUAAUUGAAGACAAAAUCCUAUUUAUAAUAGCAAACAACAGCAAAAGCAAGGAAUGAACUUAGUCAAUGUGCACUGCCUGUAGGAGAUGGCCUCGUGAUCCGCCCGCCUUGGCCUCCCAAAGUGCUGGGAUUACAGGAGUGAGCCACCGUGCCCAAAAAAAUAAAUUUUGUAAUGUUUCACUUAACAAAAGAGAUACAUUCUGAGAAAUGUAUCAUUAAGUGAUUUCAUAAUUAGUUGAUUUCGUUGUCACGCAAACAUCAUAGAAUGCACUUACACAAACCUAGAUGGUACAGCCUACUACACACCCAGGCUUUAUGGUAGAGCCUAUUGCCCUUGGCAUUAGAGACUAUUUUUAUAAACUUCAAUAAUAAAUAAGAACUGCCCCUUAGAGCUGCUCUCCCCUCCAUUCUAAACCUGGUGCAACUUACGAGGAAAGCUUGAGUUAGGAAACAGGAGUUGGGCAUAAGCACUUUGAUUUCUGCAUCCCG